rnacentral:rRNA from 1 species
UAGCCGUAAACGAUACUCGCUAGGUGUCGGCCACGGUGCGACCGUUGUCGGUGCCGUAGGGAAGCCGUGAAGCGAGCCACCUGGGAAGUACGGCCGCAAGGCUGAAACUUAAAGGAAUUGGCGGGGGAGCACCACAACGGGUGGAGCUUGCGGUUUAAUUGGAUUCAACGCCGGAAAUCUUACCGGGACCGACAGCAACAUGAAGGCCAAGCUGAAGACUUUGCCGGAUUAGCUGAGAGGUGAUGCAUGGCGUCAGUGACU